UAUUAUGGAGAGUUUGAUCCUGGCUCAGGACGAACGCUGGCGGCAUGCCUAAUACAUGCAAGUCGAGCGAACUGUUGGAAGCUUGCUUCCUUCAGUUAGCGGCGGACGGGUGAGUAACACGUGGGCAACCU
rnacentral:rRNA from 1 species